CCCCUUUGCACAGCAGAUGUGAUUCACUAGUCAUGCAGGUACAGAGAGAUCAACUGAACCAUGCUUUAAGCAAGGAAAUUCUUCUCAAUCUCAGAUCUAGAACUGGAAGAGUUCUCAAAGGCUCCCCAGUCCAUUUUCCAGAGAGUGAAAAUGAGUUACUCUAGCCACAGAAUAAGAAGAAUGUUAAACGUCAGAACUCAGAGGGAUGGAGCAUCUAAGUCACUCGAGAAACAUUUUAUUAAACGUUGACUGUUCCAGGUACUGCGCUAAAUUGUGGGAUGCAAAAAGGGGCCAAAGACAGUCCCUGUCUUUAAGGAUAAAAGGAAAUUGAAG
rnacentral:lncRNA from 1 species